CCAGCCCAAUUCAAGCUUGAUGAGAGCAGCGCGAGUUCUAAGUGGAAUCAGGAACCUGGGAGGUAGAUCACUGCCUGCAGGCCCCUUAAAUCACAGGGCGUGUGGUAUUUCAACGACUCUGACUUGUGGGAGGCGUUUGCCCUUUCGUGAUUUGCUUUUUGCUUUUUCUUGCUCAUCUCACUGAGGUAUUUUCACAAGGCGACGGACGCAGCCCAGCCGUAUUGUUGUUUCGGAGUGGGAGAGGUAUUCCCUGUAACUCGCUAUAUAAAUAAGCAGGAUAGGCCUUGUCUCAGCCUAAUUGGAGAAGGUUGUGCUAUAUUGGCGGACGAGCAGGUUCCCCUCACACAUUGAUGCAUGCUUUUGGAUGGAUGGAUGGAAGAACCGUUCACCUUUCCACUCUCCAGACAUC
rnacentral:sRNA from 1 species